GGUGGUAAGGGGGCUAGGGGUAGAAGGGACCUAGGUUAGCGGCGGCCUGGAGGCGGACUUCGCCCUGCGGCGGUGGCGUAGCGGGCGGUCAGGGGAUGGUGUAGGCGGCAGCGGGUGGUGGCGUCCGUGACGGGGUUGGUGGAGGCGGUGACGGGAGGUAGGGCUGGUGGGGGCGAUGCGCGGGUCGGCUAAGUCGGGUAGCUGCCGGAAGGAGGGCAAGGGGUGACGCCGUCACCGGAGGAAGGCGGGAGUUGGCGACAGAAGCGCUGGACGAGGUCCCGCGGCGGUGGCGGCGCUGGACGGGGCUCCGCGACGGCGGCGUCGCUGGACGGGGUCCCGAGGCGGCGGCGGCAGAUGCACUACGACGAAGCUGCGGGUCUCAACGGGGCGGAGUCCGGCUGUAGGGGACGCGCGACGGUGACUAACCACCGUACCAGCGCGCAGCGGACGUAGCAGACGGUGCGAGCCGUGGAGGACUCGCAACCUCACUUCUCGUAAAAGAAGUCCAGUCACCUUCGUGGGAGUGGGACUAGGUUAGACGUCGUCGCGGGGCUCAGGAGGGUUUCCUCGGGACUCGGCAAGUUCAUGCGUCGGGGUCCGGCAAGUUGCUGCCUCGACGGCUGGCAAGCAAUUGUGAUGUGGGGCCUAGGACGACGGGUGGUAGUUCAAGUUGAAGACAACUUAGGACAUUUCCCUCUGAAUAACACAACUAGGACCACGAACAGCGGUAAGCACUCCUUUCUGUCAGCCAGAAACUUGCCACAAGUCCGUUAUACUACCGCGUCGAUGACGUCGUAGUUGCUGUUGUCGCGCCGCGAGGACCACGAGGAGAGAGAGACGACGGAACGUACGACGCUACGGUGGCGGAGGCUCACUCCUUUUUAAGAUCGAGUACUUGCUUGGACUUCUUCGAGAUUACGCUACCACGAUAAGAGAUAUCAAUAAACAAAGAGCACUUACGUAAACCAACACCGACUACCUAGAGAUAGAAUUAUAUAAGAAACGAAAUUAACACGGGUACAUUACACCAACUUCUCCUUUAGAACUCAAUUGACUUCAGGUUGAUAAUACAACCUGUUCCAAGUAGAUGAAGCACCAACCGUUUUAAGCUGGG
rnacentral:rRNA from 1 species